GCCUGCUGUUGUUAUAAGGAGAUACAUGUGACAGCAGGCAUGCCUGCACACAGAAGAAAGACCACGUGAGGAUACAGUAGGAAGGCAGUCAGUCAUCUGCAAGCCAAGGAGAGAGGCCUCAGGGGAAACCAAACCUACCAACACCUUGAUCUUAGACUUCUAGCCUCCAAAGCUGUGAGAAAAUGCAUUUCUGUUGCUUAAGCCACUCAGUCUAUGGUAUUUUGUUAUAAGAGCUCUAGGAAACUAAUAUAUACGUAUUUAUUGGAGUGUAAGCUAGUUGUUCAAAACAUUUUUUUCUUUCUCUCUUUAUCAUGUAUUUUGCUUAUUCAUAUCUUUUCUUUUUUUCUUAACCUUGCUAGAGAUUUUUCUGUCUUAUUAAGAGUGAACCAGACCUCCUGGUUCAGAUCCUGGCUCUGCUAUUACUGGUAGUGUGAACUUUGACAAGCUACUCAACUUCUCUUAGCUUCUUUUUCCUCUUUUGUAAAAUGGGGAUAAAUAUCCUCAUGUAUAUAUCUUUAAUAUAUAAAUAAAUAGGAAAAACAGAAAAUCUACUCAAACCUAUAAAUUUCCUCUGCCUUAGCGACUUCCAGUAAAUUUUGAUAUGAGAUACUUUCGUUAUCAUUCACCUGUGGGUAUUUUGUAUUUUCCUUUUAAAUUAUCAUUUACUGCAAGGGUUAACUGGCACCCUGUAUUCCAUUUUAUUUUGUUUCCAGAGAUAGGGAGUGUUUUGUCUCCCUUCCAUUAUAUCUUAGCUUCACUCUAGUCCUUACUGGAUACAUCUGUCUCCAUGCAGCUCCUGGUUCAUAGACACCAUAUCUUCUUGUACUUUUCUGAGGAUGCCAGACUAUUUCUUAAAUAUUUUUCUGGAUCCCAGACUAGCUGGUUUUCACAUGUGUAUUCUUCCUCAAAAACCAUCUCGAUACGGUUUUUCUUUGUUGCACAGUAUCUUUUUUUUUUCUACCAUAGGAAUUGUUUUAUUUUUCUUCUCUACUUCUUGAACAAGGCAAGACCUAUUAAAGCUCCAGGUUUUCAAUAGUGUUGGGAUAUACAAUCUCCAAAAUCCUGCCUGCUCUGACAUACACACCGUGGAAGCUGUAGCAUCACUUUGCUUCAUGAAUCCUCUGGGAUUGGAAAUUCUUUAUAAGACUGUAUUAAACAAACACAACUCUUUCUGAAUCCUGCAAAACGAAACUGGACCUGGGACAAGUAUUUUAACACAAAGUUCUAUUUGUCCUCAAUCUUGUUUGGCCCUGACCAAAUGUAGGGUGUGAUUUUUUUCUUCUCCACUCCUUCUUACACAAGGCAAGACCUACUCAAACUCCAGGUUUUCAACAGGUGGGGUGAGUACAGUUUCCAUUGGUCCUACUUGUUGCCCAUUGGUAUGGUGGUUGACUACUUUUCUCAAAUCUAGAACUGAAGGGUAGAUUCACUGGCGCUGAUCUCAUUCCAAAACCCACCUUCUAGCUUACUUCUUUCUGGUCUACCCCUACUUUUUGUGGUUAACAUGCUCCUUCCAUACAACUGAGCUGUUUUUGUUUUUGUUUUUAGUGAGCUGAACAGAUUAAGUACCCACUAAGAUCAAGUUUCUUCCUUUCAACUUAAACUUCAGGACUGAACUCUAACUGAACUGCAGACGAGCAAGCAUAGGAAUGUGUAUGGAAUAUGAGCCACUUUGAUAUUGAAGUUGGCAUGCAGCAAAAGCUGACUAAAUACAUCUCCCUGAAGCAGAGGUCCACACAAAACAAUUUGGGAAAAUGAGCUCUAAAAGCCUUCAAAAGACCUCUUUCUACCUACCAUAAUUAACCAGUGUUUAAGAAAACAUGGCAGCCUUUUAGAUGUAAUAUAAUUUUACAGUUUUCAUUGUGAUUCCCAUAUUUAUAUUCCACAUAAUAGAGUGAGUUAGGAUGGACGGCCCCAUUACCCAACCAAAGGGGGACUUGGAGAGCCAAUAAUUGGCAGAGAUGUCAGUGGGACCCAGGUCUCCCAAAUCCUAGCCUGGGUGUUUUUCCACUAAACUUGGUCUUCCUCUUAGUUUUUAUAAGAAGCCCUUCAAGCUCUUGCACAUAUUUAGGUCAAAAUUACUACUUUCAGACCUAUUGUCUGAUUUGGAAGGAAAUCUUGUAAUUACAGGAUGACUUCAAAACAAUAUUCAAUUGCAUAAUAGGAGUGUGGGUUGCAUGUUUUGAGCAUUAAUAAUACUAAGAAGCCUUCCAUUUAUUUGGUUGAACAAAAAUAGUAAUCCAAUGUCCACUACCCAAAAUGGCCCAAGUAACUAUAAAAGCUACUCUAAAGGGAUGAAGAGCUGUGGGAAAUGACUAAAUAGCACUGAAAGCAGUACUCUGCUCUUUAAAAGUUCAAAAAUUAGGCAAUCUGGGUGAGAGAAAGAUGUGAUCUAAAGGAAACAGGACACAGCCCUGAACAAAUUCCAGAACUCAUAAUGUGGUCAGGUUAUACAAUCAAGUGCUAAAACCAAUUUUGGGGCAUUGCUUUAAAAAGCAUUCCUGUUGAACCCAUUUGAGGGCAGGUGGCCUCUUCAGUAUGGCCUUGCACUUGUGUAUGGCACCUGCCCUUGGCCCCAGGCACAGUGUACACUCCUUUGGUGUUGCAAGUGCCUGCCACAGAGAUCCCAGGUGGCAUUCAAGGGAUGACUCAAGGUCCCACCCAUUAAAAAUAUACCUUCCACAUGGCACUGCCUUACCCUUCGUGUAGAAGUGGAAAUAGUACAGCAUUUCUGAAGGGCACUUUGACAGUUGUAUUCAUUCAGGUAUCCAUCAUUGGACAAAGAGAUACUAAGCUACCUCUCCAUGCCAGGCACUCUGUUAACGACUGUAGAUACUGAAGUGAGCAAAGUAGACAAAAAUCUCUGCCCUUAUGGAGCUGACAUUCUAGUAUGUAUGUGGAAGUGGGGCCACGGGGAGGUGGGGAGAUAAGUUACUCUGAGGAAGCAAAGUAAAUUAAAAAGUAAUUAAUAAAUAGAAGGUAAGAAAUUCUUUGGAGAAAACUUAAGCAGUAAUGAGGACAGGGAAUGGAGGUGGGUAAGGAAAGAUCUCACUGAUAAGGUGAUACCUAUCCUAAAAUUAUGUCUAAAAGAUUAUAGCUACAAAAAAAGAAGAAAAACUGAAUGGAAACACAUAAAGUGCAAUUUGUGGUUAUCUUUAGAAGAUAUUUGCGGCAAUUUUCUGUACUGUGUUCUGCAUAUGUGUGCUUGUGUGUUUUUAAUUAGUUGGAAAUUUUGACAAUGUACUCUGGCAUCUUUAUUUCUUAAAAGACCCCACCAAGCAAUUCUGAGGCACAGUAAAAUAUAAAAUUGUUUUCUUCGCACCUUACAUUUUAAGUUCUAUGCUCAAAAAGAUUCUAGUAGUUCUGGGCAUGCUGAGUUCAACAUUUUAAGUUAUACGUAUUUUUUAAUUGCCCUGCAAUUCCCCUCAAUUGGGUUACUGAAGAAUUAUAUGUAAAUAUCUCAUAGUGCAUUGUGAGAAAUGAGUUAUGUAAUCCAUGUAAAGAGGUUAGCAUCAGGCUCAAUAAAUGUUUAGCUGCCAUCAGUGUUAUUAUUGUUAGAGGCUUAGUGGAGAACUUGCUGUUUGAUCUGGACCUUGAAAAAGAAAUGGGUAAAGGAUGUGGAUAAAGGUCAGAGGGUGGAUUAUCCAGGCAGGAAAAAUACAUUGGCAAAAACAUGAGGAAUGACCUCAUUGUGAGCAAAGGGAAGUCUCCCUUUCAUUCAGUAGACCUUUACUGAGCUAUUGGACCACAAGCUCCGGGAGUUCUGAGGCUAUGUCCACCCCGUUCACUGCUUUAUCCCAGCACUUAGUACAGCACGUUACACAAAAAGAGCUGUAAAUAUUUGUUGACUGUUCAAAGUAUUUUAACCACCACUAAAAGCAUGUUCAUUUUAGAUGUGUCCUCAGGCAGCUUCUGUGACAUCAGUUGUCAUUUUAAUAAAGAGCUAACCAGAGCCACUCUAAGAAAAUGAGUUCACCAAGAUAUAUUCAAGCUACAAUAAAAUGUAAUAAUUUUUGGAUUUGUAUGCAAUAACAACUCAUUCAUCUAGUAUGGUUAGGAAAUUAGUAACUUAUUUAUAAUGGAAACAUCCCUUUAAUGCUAAAGGUUUUCAAUUCUAUUUUAACCAAGUUGGAUGGAAAUAUUUUUAAUUUGGGGGGUUUUUUGUUUUGUUUGUUUUAACACAGGGUCUCGUUCUGUCACCCAGGCUGGAGUGCAGUGGCGUGAUCAUGGCUCACUGCAGACUCAACCUCCUGGGCUCAGGCAAUCCUCCCACCUCAAGCCUCCCGAGCAGCAGGGAUUACAGGCACACACCACCAUGCCCAGCUAAAUGUUUGUAUUUUUGUACAGAUGGGGUUUCACUAUGUUGUCUAAGCUGGUUUCGUAAUGGUGGGCUCAAGUGAUCCUCCUGCCUCUGCCUCCCAAAGUGCUGGGAUUACAGGUGUUAGCCACCAUGCCUGGCCUAUUUUUAAUUUUUAUUACAAAUAUCUGUGGCUUUUUGAACACUGCAUAUAGAACAAAAUUGAUCCCUUUAAUGAAUCUGUGUCAGUUAUGAAACACAAGCUGUGAGCAGCCAAAGACCACCUUUGACUAACAUAUUUUAUUAGAAUGUUUUAAAGUAGUCUUCCAAAUUAAAAGAAAAUUGGACAACCAGUCUUGAAAAGGUCAGGGACCAUGCAGCUCCAGGGUUCUACGUGGAAGGGAAGAAUUCAGGAUACCACCAUAAGGAUGAGCCAGCCCAGUAGCUUUGUGUUGGCUCUGCUCAACAUCCAAAUUCCUGCAAAAAGGUGACUGACUUGUCUUGGACCAUAAGCUCAGCCUUGUUCAGGAGAUGGGAAAGCUCCUUACAUGAUGGUUCCUUUGGAACAGAAUACAAAUUGGGAAGGGUAAUUUUCUGAAGAAAAAUCAUAGUGCUGCCUCCAGAGGAGAGCAGAAUGAAUGCUGAGCAUGUGAAAACACGGAAGUCCAACACAAUAAUGAAUAAUCAUUUUGAACAUCAAUUAUAGUAUUAACUUGUAAUUCAGUAAUGUUCUUGAAAACUGAUGUUUAAGGCUAUCUUUCCCCUUUAAUUAGUGGUCUCAGGCUUCUUUACUUUUUGAGUUUCUAAUUUUUAUAAUUCUCUUGUCUUUUUUUUUUUCACCUUUCAAAAUGAUUAUUUUCUUGCUACUUUUUUUUUUUUUUUUUUUUUUUGAGAUGGAGUCUCGCACUGUCGCCCAGACUGGAGUACAAUGGUGCGAUCUCGGCUCAGUUCAACCUCCACCUCCCAGGUUCAAGCAAUUCUCCUGCCUCAGCCUCCCAAGUAGCUGGGAUUACAGGUGCACGCCACUACGCCUGUCUAAUUUUUUGUAUUUUUAAUAGAGACAGGGUUUCACUAUGUUGGUCAGGCUGGUCUCAAACUCCUGACCUCGUGAUCUGCCCGCCUCGGCCUCCCAAAGUGCUGGGAUUACAGGCAUGAGCCACCGCACCUGGCCUUUUCUUGCUACUUUCAAUUUACCCACUUUGGGCAGUCUCCAUCCACUUUCUUCCUCUAUUUGGCUGUGGACUGGGAAAUGAAAUAAACAAGCUUGUUAGAUGUGUGUAUGUAAUGGGACUGUGAAUAAGUAUGAGUCUAUGAGUAAAGCACAUGAUAAAUGCAUAGACUUGGUGUCAUUUACAUUGACUGCUCAAAGACUUCUCUUGCUAAUGUUUAGUUGUUUAGCUACUUAGAUAGUGACCAGAUGAGGAAUUUCUCUGUAAAUGAUAUGCUACCAAUUAUAAGAACACAUGUCCUUUUUAUAAUUGCUUUAAAUUCAUUUUCACCAUAUCAUUGAAAGGAAGGAGAGGGCAAAUAUUUGCUCAGUUUUAAAAGUAUGAAAAAUGGAGCCACAGAGGGCUUAAGUACACUGGGGAAAGGCUAGUGCUGAGCCCCAGGUGUCCUGGUUUCCAUUUUAGAAGUUAGUUAAUAGAUUCAGCUAUGUCAAUAUCAGGAGAUGUACAGAAUCAUAGGUCAAAGACAGCUUAAAACUUCAGAGAUCACUAGGGGAUACAACAAGUGUAUGAUAUAGACAGAAAAGCACAGGGAAAAUUACAUAUGUGACUGUAAAACACACAUACGAAGCUGUUAACAGCACCCACAGAUGGGAACAAACAUUGAUUUCCCUGUUCAAUCACUUUUAGCAACAACUUGGAUAAAGAUACUGAAAAUAUGUUUAACAAUUGCAGGUGACACAAAAUUGAAAAAGAUUACCAGUAUAUUUAAUGAGAGAACCAAGAUCCUGGCUGAAACUACUGGCUAAAAUGUAAUAUUGAUUAGACAACAUGAAUUUUUCAAUUUCUUAUAAUUAUAGCUAACAUUCUAAUUUACAAACAUGAUGUAGGGGAAGUCUUACUUGACAACAAUCAUACGGGUUUUGGUUUGCUGCAAAUAAAGAAAUAAUAAUACCAUUUAUUGAAGAUAGUGCCAGCAUCAUACUAAGUGCUUUAUAUGUACUAUGUCAAGUCUCACAAUUCUAAAACAUAGGCAUCAUCAUCAUCCCCACAUUGUAAGUGAGAAACUGAUAAUUUGAGAAGUUAGAUAAAAUGCCCCGAAUCUGACAGCUAAUGAAUGUUGAAACCAGGUGUCAAAUCUACCUAAAUCCAUGUCUUAACCAAUAUGCUGCUGUUAUUAUGUAAAAAUAAAUGCCAUUAUUAAAAGAUUCAAGGAAGUCUCUUUGUACUACUCAUUUUAAUUGAAGUAUGUGAUUGUCA
rnacentral:lncRNA from 1 species